AGGAACAAGAAUCGAACAUUGGCACGGGCACUAACUCGAAUAUUUUUCUUUCCCACUUUUCUUUCUUUCUUUCUUUCUUGCACAUUUCCUCCGCCCAAAGAGCUU
rnacentral:ribozyme from 1 species